rnacentral:rRNA from 1 species
GGGUCAGUAGGUUGGUCGUGCCACCGGUACGUACUGGUCUCACUGAUUCCUCCUUCCUGAAGAACCGUAAUGCCAUUAAUUUGGUGUUGCGGGGAAACAGCACUGUGACUAUGAAAAAAUUAGAGUGUUUAAAGCAAGCUAACGCUUGAAUACAUUAGAAUGGAAUAAUGAAAUAGGACGAUCGAUCCUAUUUUGUUGGUUUCUAGGAUUGACGUA